ensembl:snoRNA U8 U8 small nucleolar RNA
UCGUCAGCCUCUGAACUUCAGGGUAGAUCAGAGCAUGAUGACUGGAGUACAUGUGACUGUGACUAAUGUCUCCGUGGAAUCAGGACUUGCAACACCUGAUUGCUCCUGAU